UAUAGCACAAAAGGUAGCGCGUUGGACUUCUAAUUCAAAGGUCGUGGAUUCGAAUCCCAUUUCAA